GAUAUGGCUCAGGAUGAACGCUAGCUACAGGCUUAACACAUGCAAGUCGAGGGGCAGCAUGAACUUAGCUUGCUAAGUUUGAUGGCGACCGGCGCACGGGUGAGUAACACGUAUCCAACCUUCCGUUUACUCAGGGAUAGCCUUUCGAAAGAAAGAUUAAUACCUGAUAGUAUGGUGAGAUUGCAUGAUAACACCAUUAAAGAUUUAUUGGUAAACGAUGGGGAUGCGUUCCAUUAGGUAG
rnacentral:rRNA from 1 species